AAGGAUUUAAGUUAAACAAACUAAUAGCCUUCAAAGCUAUAAAUAAAGAGGUCUUUAAGCCUUA
rnacentral:tRNA from 1 species